AUAGGCCUUUGUGACAUUCGAUAUAUUCCGUGUUUUUAGACAUGAGGACUUGGUACUUGAGACAGAUCUUUCGCUUGCUUGCCAUUGUGCUCAUUCGCACAUGCUUGUGAGGGUCGCUCCCUACAAGCCGGCACUCCGGAGAUAGCCAUCGCGACAUAUGCUCGCUCGUGCGGGAUUGGGGGCCGAAAUGGAAUGCCGUGGGGGAGGCUCAUUCCUAGAGUGGGGAUGUU
rnacentral:lncRNA from 1 species